CAGUAGCCGCGGGAACACGUAGGGUGCAAGCGUUAAUCGGAAUUACUGGGCGUAAAGCGUGCGCAGGCGGUUUGUUAAGACAGAUGUGAAAUCCCCGGGCUCAACCUGGGAACUGCAUUUGUGACUGGCAAGCUAGAGUGUGGCAGAGGGGGGUGGAAUUCCGCGUGUAGCAGUGAAAUGCGUAGAUAUGCGGAGGAACACCGAUGGCGAAGGCAGCCCCCUGGGCCAACACUGACGCUCAUGCACGAAAGCGUGGGGAGCAAACAGGAUUAGAUACCCCCGUAGUCCCUGUCUCUUAUAC
rnacentral:rRNA from 1 species